GAUGAACGCUGGCGGCGUGCCUAAUACAUGCAAGUCGAGCGAACAGAUAAGGAGCUUGCUCCUUUGACGUUAGCGGCGGACGGGUGAGUAACACGUGGGUAACCUACCUAUAAGACUGGAAUAACUCCGGGAAACCGGGGCUAAUGCCGGAUAACAUGUUGAACCGCAUGGUUCUACAGUGAAAGGCGGCUUUGCUGUCACUUAUAGAUGGACCCGCGCCGUAUUAGCUAGUUGGUGAGGUAACGGCUCACCAAGGCAACGAUACGUAGCCGACCUGAGAGGGUGAUAGGCCACACUGGAACUGAGACACGGUCCAGACUCCUACGGGAGGCAGCAGUAGGGAAUCUUCCGCAAUGGGCGAAAGCCUGACGGAGCAACGCCGCGUGAGUGAUGAAGGUCUUCGGAUCGUAAAACUCUGUUAUUAGGGAAGAACAAAUGCGUAAGUAACUGUGCGCGUCUUGACGGUACCUAAUCAGAAAGCCACGGCUAACUACGUG
rnacentral:rRNA from 1 species